rnacentral:tRNA from 1 species
UCCCUAUUGGUCUAGUGGCUAAGACUCUGUACUCCCAAUCCAGGGGGACUGGGUUCAAUCCCCAUUCAGGGAA